rnacentral:rRNA from 1 species
ACUCCUACGGGAGGCAGCAGUGGGGAAUAUUGCACAAUGGGCGCAAGCCUGAUGCAGCCAUGCCGCGUGUAUGAAGAAGGCCUUGGGUUGUAAAGUACUUUCAGCAGUGAGGAAGGUGGGGUAUGUUAAUAGCAUACUCAUUUGUACGUUAGCUGCAGAAGAAGCACCGGCUAACUCCGUGCCAGCAGCCGCGGUAAGUACGGAGGGUGCGAGCGUUAAUCGGAAUUACGUGGCGUAAAGCGCAUGCAGGUGGUUUGUUAAGUCAGAUGUGAAACGCCCGGGGCUCAACCUCGGAAUUGCAUUUGAAACUGGCAAACUAGAGUACUGGUAGAGGGGGUUAGAAUUUCAGGUGUAGCGGUGAAAUGCGUAGAGAUCGUGAAGG